CCGCCAUCUCGCAGAGAGGGGCUGCGGAGCCGCGCCCUCGCCAAGGGAAAGCUGCGGUCCGGCCGAGGUGCGGGGGCAGCUCUCCUGCCAGGGCCGCCCUCCCAGCGCCGCGGGCUCGCCCCAGGGGCAGCCCGGGGAGCGCGUCCCUCUCUGACCCGGUUCUGGACUAUCGGCACCGUGCGGUCCAUCCCGCACUGCUGGGGCCGCAGGGCGAAAAAAACCAAAACCAACGCGAGUAAAGAUUAAACAGAAUGGUGCUGCGAAAGUAGUUCCAUCCAUCUGUUUACAUUUUCCUGUCUUAGUUUUUCCUGGGACUGAAGAUGCUACAUCAUUCUUGAAGACUGUGGGAAACAAAUACAGAUGAGCUCUUUGUAUAGGAAGGAAAACUUCAUGAAGUACCAAAAGGUUCUGUGGAAGAUUUGCUUGUCCAUCCUGCUUAGAAAUAUGAAGCUUGUUACAAAAAUGCACCCUCAAAUUUAAUCGCUGCUCCUUAUUUUGCUCCAGGCCUCAGGACUUAAGACUUCUUUGUUUUUUUCUUCCCUAAAUCUUCCCUCUGUGAUAUUGAAGAAUCAUAAAGUAUCAUCAACAAACACAAUUUUGUAUCUGGAAAAUGCAUUAAAAUCACCUAUGUAACCUGCAUGAGAGGUAAAUAAAUUUGUCUUACAUAAUGCAUGAACUAUAUGAAAACUCUGAAGUAUUUCCUUUUCUUUCAUCUAAAGUGUGCAGUUAAGAACAUAUCCAGGGAAUAUCAAGGAACAAAACCAAGUGCAAGGUGCUGCACCCAGAUCAGUGUAUUACCAGUACAAGCCAGGGGAUGAAUGGACUGAGAGCAGCCUUGCAGAGAAGAUCUUGGGAAUACUGGUCAGUGAAAAAUUGGAUAUGACCCAGCAGUGUGCACUCACAGCCCAGAAAACCAGUCACUCUCUGGCCUGCAACAAGAGCAGCAUGGCUAGCAAGUCCAGGGAUUAUUCCCCUGUACUCUUGUAGAGUAUGUUUGUGAGACCCCAUCUAGAGUGCUGCAUCCAGGUUUGCUGUCCCCAGCACAGGAAGGACAUGGACCUCUUAAAGAUGGUCCAGAGAACCACAAAAAUGGUCAGAGGGCUUGAACAUCUCUCCUAUGAGGAAAGGCAGAGAGCUUGGGAUUGUUCAGCCUGGAGAAGAGAAGGUGCCAGGGAAACAUUAUUGCAGUUUUUCAAUAUAUAAAGGCAGCCUGUAAGAAAGACAGAGGGACUUUUUACCAAGGCUUGUGGUGGCAGGACAAGUGGCAAGGGUUUUAAAAUGAAGGAAGGUUUAGAUUAGGCAUAAGAAGUAGGCAUAAGAAGAAACCUUUUGUAGGGAAGGUGGUAAGAUACUAACAUGUUCAGAGAAACUGGGAAUGUUCCAUCCUUGGAAGGAAUGUUCAAGGCCAGGUUUG